rnacentral:rRNA from 1 species
UAAACGUGAGGUGUGAUGAGGAGUCGUAAGAUGGAAGGUGCAAAUACCACACUGCCGAGAAAAGCUUCUAAGCGUUAUAAAGAUAUUAGUGCCCGUACCCCAAACCGACACAGGUGGUCAGGAUGAGAAAUCUAAGGCGGACAGGCUAACUCUCGUUAAGGAACUCUGCAAAAUAGCCCCGUAACUUCGGGAGAAGGGGUGCCUUUUAUGGUGAGCGUACACGCGACGCAAAGCUAUGAGAGGCCGCAGUGAAGAGUCUCAGGCGACUGUUUAACAAAAACACAGGUCUAUGCUAAGCUGUAAGGCGACGUAUAUGGGCUGACACCUGCCCAGUGCCGGAAGGUUAAGAGGAGGAGUGAGAGCUCCGAAUUGAAGCCCCGGUGAACGGCGGCCGUAACUAUAACGGUCCUAAGGUAGCGAAAUUCCUUGUCGGGUAAGUUCCGACCUGCACGAAUGGUGUAACGAUCUGAGAGCUGUCUUGACGGGAGGCCUGGUGAAAUUGUAUUACCGGUGAAGAUACCGGUUACCUGCAGUAGGACGGAAAGACCCCAUGGAGCUUUACUGUAGCUUGGUAUUGGGUUUUGGCAUCGUAUGUAUAGGAUAGUUGGGAGACUAUGAUGCGUAGUCGCUAGAUUACGCGGAGUCACUGGUGGAAUACCAACCAUACUAUGUCGGAAUUCUAAUUUGAGGUUUGUACCCUCGAAGACAGUGCUAGGUGGGCAGUUUGACUGGGGCGGUCGCCUCCGAAAGAGUAACGGAGGCGUUCAAAGGUUCUCUCAGGUUGGAUGGAAAUCAACCGCAGAGUGCAAUGGCAUAAGAGAGCUUAACUGCGAGACUGACGGGUCGAGCAGGUGCGAAAGCAGGACAUAGUGAUCCGGCGAUUCCGAAUGGAAGGGUCGUCGCUCAACGGAUAAAAGCUACCCUGGG